GACGAAGGGGGCUAGCGUUGUUCGGAAUUACUGGGCGUAAAGCGCGUGUAGGCGGUUAUCCAAGUCAGGUGUGAAAACCUUGAGCUCAACUCAAGAAAUGCACUUGGUACUGGGUGACUAGAGGACCGGAGAGGAUAGUGGAAUUCCCAGUGUAGUGGUGAAAUACGUAGAGAUUGGGAAGAACACCAGUGGCGAAGGCGGCUAUCUGGACGGUUUCUGACGCUAAGACGCGAAAGCGUGGGGAGCAAACAGG
rnacentral:rRNA from 1 species